CAGCAGCCGCCGCGGGAAUACGUAGGGUGCAAGCGUUAAUCGGAAUUACUGGGCGUAAAGCGUGCGCAGGCGGUUAUAUAAGACAGAUGUGAAAUCCCCGGGCUCAACCUGGGAACUGCAUUUGUGACUGUAUAGCUAGAGUACGGCAGAGGGGGAUGGAAUUCCGCGUGUAGCAGUGAAAUGCGUAGAUAUGCGGAGGAACACCGAUGGCGAAGGCAAUCCCCUGGGCCUGUACUGACGCUCAUGCACGAAAGCGUGGGGAGCAAACAGGAUUAGAUACCCGAGUAGUCCCUGUCUCUUAUAC
rnacentral:rRNA from 1 species